UUGCUUUGGCUGCACAUAUACUAGAACUGGAACUAUACAGAGAAGAUUAGCAAGGUCCUGCAUAGGAUGACAUGCAAAUUUGUGAAGCAGUCCAUAUAUAU
rnacentral:snRNA from 1 species